rnacentral:lncRNA from 1 species
GCAAUGUCCUGAGAUAAGGAAGAACUGCCUGAAACAGCCUGGAUCUUAUUCCUGUACUUCCUAGGGAAUGUAACAUCUCAAGUUAAAGAGGAACUGCCCGGAACAGCCCGGGGAUUGUUCCUCUCUCCUGAGAAGGAAGAUUACCUCCAAAGCUCAUCCACUGAGUCACACUGCCCCUGUGGUGGAGGGCGGGCUGCCUUUCCAGGUUCCUCAGCUGUGGUGUAACUGAAGCAGGCACAAUCAAGACUCCAUCUGCUCGAGGCAGCUUUCUCGAACCUUGGGGAACCUACUCACAAUGGAUCACAGGCUUCUUUUGUUUUGUUUCUUGCUGCCUAUCUGUUGGGAAGCAAAAAUCAGCUGAGUGAAGAUGAGGAAGAAGGUGUUAAAGGUUUGAAGAAAAAAGGAAAAGGAUAUACUAAUCUAAGAGGACAAGUAAGUAGAACAUAGAUAAUGAAAAUGCUGGCCCUUAGGACUGUUGGGCCUAAAUGCUCAUAUUAUAUUGGUAGUCACAAAUUUGAACUUUCUCUAGAGCCAAUUUUUGCAUGUGUGUGCAGGCCUGGAGUAGUUGGAGAGUUGGAUUUAAUAGAAUUGAGGGUCAAGCAACUACAACCAGGGAAGAGUGGGACAAGGGAGAUAAAGGAUAUUGGCAGGGGAGCAAUUAUAAACAUGGACCAUGAUCAAAACUGGACAGGAAGGAAAAUAGAGAUAAGAGGGGUGGAAGGUUAAAAAUAGUGAAAAUGAGAUAGAAUGAAUAGGUUGUAGGUCCCUGUAAAGUUGAAGAAGUAUUAUUAUGCAGUACUCGUUAUUGAAAUGAGGUCACUAUGCUUAAGGCACAGUGAAUCCUAGAAAAUAGUGGUUUUGUUUCUCAUUAGGCAAUACAUUCCUCCUUGCUCCAGAAUGCAACAUACAUGUAUCCUUUUCUGUACUAUUUUUUAUUAAGAAUUCAUACUUAAUUCCACUGACUGCCACUCAAUUUUAAUGUACAGUAGGGAAUUCCUGUACUAUGUAUUAUGAAUCCAUUCCUUUGAAUUUCAUUUAUAAUACUUCAUGACUGACACCUGGCUUUCCACCAAGACUCAAUUUUCAUAGCAAGCCUCAUCAUCAUAAGCCCCCAAAUUAACAGGAUGAGGAGGAAGAAUUGGCAGGCUAAAGAAGAUGAUUAUAUCAAUUAAUGCAGAAAAAGCAUUUGAUAAAAUCCAAUAUUCAUUUGUAAUUAAAAACUCUCAGCAAGUUAGGGAUAGGAAUUACUUCAACUUAAUGAAGAGUGUCUUUAAAAACCUUAUUUUCAUCAGUUAUAACAAAUGUACCACUCUGGUGGUGAAUGUUGCUAAGGAGGGAAGCUAUACAUGUGUGGGGAAAGGAGAUGUGUGAGCAAUUUCUGUACCUUCUACUCAAUCUUCU